rnacentral:lncRNA from 1 species
CUAUCUCAUAAUCAUCUGGUUUAUUCCAUGUGAUUGUGAUGUCUGGGAGACCAGCCCAUUGUAGAAUAGUAAUGGCCAAUGCAGUUCCAUUGCUGUGAGUGUCACGAGGUUCAGGGACACCUUUCCAUGAGUCCUGUGUAUCUGGUGGCAGUUUUCCUGAUCCUUCUCCCAGUCCCCACUACUCCACAGUCCUGGCCCCCUAACACCGUGGGGACCUGACUGCAUCCAGCUCUAGCAAGCACCUUUCCCUUAGCUCACCACUCUCCCUCUUUUCCAGCACCUCUUGUAAGCUUUCUCUCCUUCUUUCUUACUCCCCACCAUUUCUUCUCUCCACUGAGCUCUUGUACUCACAUGGAUUGUCAUCACCCAGUGGCAGGAGUGCACUCUGUCUUGGCCUUGUGGUUGAUGGAGUGGCAGAUCUGGGGGAACCAGGGAGGAGAUGCAGGUCUGACAGAGCAGACACUGAGCAGUGCCUUGGGCCAGCCACUCCCCUGGGCAUCUCUUCAGGGCUUUACCCUCAGCCAACUGCUUCUCACAGCUGCCCAUCCCAGCCGCCCAGAACCCUGGGGCUGGCAUUCUGUGAUGUCAACUGUUCCACACAGUUGCAGAUGGUGUGAGGCCGUGUUGCUGGGUGGCGGAUCGAUAGUAGUCUCAAUAAGUUGCCAAGACUGGUCUCAAACUUGUGAUCCUCCUGCCUCAGACUCCCUCACUGCUGCAGUUUACAGGCUGGCCUCCAACUCCUAGGCUUGAAUUCCUGGGCUCAGAAACGAUCUCCUGCCUCAGCCUCCUUAGUAGCUGGAACUACAGGACCACCACCAAGCCUCACAAUAAAAUUUUUUAAAAUUGCAUUAAUAAUACGCAGUUAGAGGAAAAACUCAUAUAUAAGCAUUAUUUAUCCAGAAAAGCAUCGUGUGUGUUGUUAUGUUGCAUCAACAACCUCUGGCUCCAGUCCACUUUGCUGAAAUGUGCUUUCCUCUUCCUUCUCUCCAG